ensembl:lncRNA
UCCCCGUCUCCCUCUCUCUCCCCGUCUCCCUCUCUCUCCCUCUCCCCGUCUCCCUCUCUCUCCCCGUCUCCCUCCCUCUCCCCGUCUCCCUCUCUCUCCCUCUCCCCGUCUCCCUCUCUCUCCCUCUCCCCCUCUCUCCGUCUCCCUCUCUAUGUUACUAAAGAGACGGCACUCAAGACAGCUAUACUGGAGAACAGUUAUUUAUUGAUGAGAAAAAUAAUGGAAUAACAAUAAACACGUUUUCGUGACCAAAAGCAGUGUCUUUUGAAAUAGACAGAUAUCAAAAUGUUGUAAUUGAACAUGAUUUGUAAAUAAUAAUAUAAAUAUGAGUGUUUUUUCCACAUUGCUUUGAGGUGUUGUUCAUUACAGAGCAUGUCUCAGCUCACUGCCCAUCCUGUCUACAUAAGGGCAAAGGGAAGGCUUAUAGCAACUGUGUGAAGGGUUAUAGAGGUUGUGUGAAGGGUUAUAGCACUACUGUAAUAUUCUGUCAAAUAAAUCUAAAAGCAUUGCUCAAACUAACGAGAUGUGGUUUUGUGUGUCCUUGGCUCUGAGAUGCUAAGGGAUCAUAUCACUCUUUCCUGCACUCAUAUUUCUUCCUCUUCUUUUCAAAUAAUCUCUCCCUUGGUCUUACUCUCUCUCACACACAGAAAAGGGAGUCACAGUGGCCAGCUAUUCUCAGCACCAAUGAGGGAAAGUGUAAAAUAUAGCCUAUCCCAGUGUCAAAACCGAAGCUUCAGAAGUCAGUGAUGGUGAAACCAGUCCUCAUACUCAGCUGGAGGAGAGACAGAACAAGAUGUCAUCACCAUUGACAAGUCAUUAUUACAUCACCAUUGACAAGUCAUUAUUACAUCACUAUUGACAAGUCAUUAUUACAUCACCAUUGACAAGUCAUUAUUACAUCACCAUUGAGAACUUCAGUUAGUUUAGUCCUGUUUUAAUAACAUGCUGUAUGAUAGUGUAUGAUGUGUGUUAUGGUAAACAAUAAAGGCCAUUUCUACUUCCUGUCUAUUUGAAUCAUAUUAUUCUUCCUUGUCCUCUUGUAGGGUUUUCCCUCAGAAACACAUAAAACCUUCAAAUGUAGUCAGUUAUACUGCCAAGAGAAAAACAGCAUUGACGGGUUAAAUAUUAGCUUAACAAGAAAUCAAUGGUUACACGGUUACAUCCAGAAAAAGACUGGAGCUCGAAACACUGACAAUCUUUUCAGAUUGUAUAGAGUAUAGGAGAAAGCACUGUAGGAUAAUGCCCUAGGGAAUGGGUAUAGGAGAAAGCACUGUAGGAUAAUGUGCAAGGAAAUGAGUAUAGGAGAAAGCACUGUAGGAUAAUGCGCUAGGGAAUGGGUAUAGGAGAAAGCACUGUAGGAUAAUGCGCUAGGGAAUGGGUAUAGGAGAAAGCACUGUAGGAUAAUGGCCUAGGGAAUGGGUAUAGGAGAAAGUACUGUAGGAUAAGGCGUUAGGGAAUGGGUAGGGGAGAAAGCACUGUAGGAUAAUGCGCUAGGGAAUGGGAAGGGGAGAAAGCACUGUAGGAUAAGGCGCUAGGGAAUGGGAAGGGAUAUAGGAGAAAGCACUGUAAAAUAAUGCCCUAGGGAAUGGGAAGGGGAGAAACCACUGUAGGAUAAGGCGCUAGGGAAUGGGAAGGGAUAUAGGAGAAAGCACUGUAAAAUAAUGCCCUAGGGAAUGGGAAGGGGAGAAAGCACUGUAGGAUAAGGCGCUAGGGAAUGGGAAGGGAUAUAGGAGAACGCACUGUAAAAUAAUGCCCUAGGGAAUGGGAAGGGGAGAAAACACUGUAGGAUAAGGCGCUAGGGAAUGGGUAGGGGAGAAAGUACUGUAGGAUAAGGCGCUAGGGAAUGGGAAGGGGAGAAAGCACUGUAGGAUAAGGCGCUAGGGAAUGGGUAGGGGAGAAAGUACUGUAGGAUAAGGCGCUAGGGAAUGGGUAGGGGAGAAAGUACUGUAGGAUAAGGCGCUAGGGAAUGGGUAGGGGAGAAAGUACUGUAGGAUAAGGCGCUAGGGAAUGGGAAGGGGAGAAAACACUGUAGGAUAAGGCGCUAGGGAAUGGGAAGGGGUAUAGGAGAAAGUACUGUAGGAUAAGGCGCUAGGGAAUGGGUAGGGGAGAAAGUACUGUAGGAUAAGGCGCUAGGGAAUGGGAAGGGGAGAAAGCACUGUAGGAUAAGGCGCUAGGGAAUGGGAAGGGGAGAAAGCACUGUAGGAUAAGGCGCUAGGGAAUGGGUAGGGGGGAAAGUACUGUAGGAUAAGGCGCUAGGGAAUGGGUAGGGUUGAAAGCACUGUAAGAUAAGGCGCUAGGGAAUGGGUAGGGGAGAAAGCACUGUAGGAUAAUGCGCUAUGGAAUGGGUAUAGGAGAAAGCACUGUAGGAUAAUGGCCUAGGGAAUGGGUAUAGGAGAAAGUACUGUAGGAUAAGGCGUUAGGGAAUGGGUAGGGGAGAAAGCACUGUAGGAUAAUGUGCUAGGGAUUGGGAAGGGGAGAAAGCACUGUAGGAUAAUGCGCUAGGGAAUGGGAAGGGGAGAAAGCACUGUAGGAUAAUGCGCUAGGGAAUGGGAAGGGAUAUAGGAGAAAGCACUGUAGGAUAAUGCGCAAGGGAAUGGGAAGGGGAGAAAGCACUGUAGGAUAAGGCGCUAGGGAAUGGGAAGGAAUAUAGGAGAAAGUACUGUAGGAUAAGGCGCUAGGGAAUGGGAAGGGAUAUAGGAGAAAGCACUGUAAAAUAAUGCCCUAGGGAAUGGGAAGGGGAGAAAGCAAUGUAGGAAAAGGCGCUAGGGAAUGGGAAGGGAUAUAGGAGAACGCACUGUAAAAUAAUGCCCUAGGGAAUGGGAAGGGGAGAAAGCACUAUAGGAUAAGGCGCUAGGGAAUGGGAAGGGGAGAAAGCACUGUAGGAUAAGGCGCUAGGGAAUGGGAAGGGAUAUAGGAGAAAGCACUGUAAAAUAAUGCCCUAGGGAAUGGGAAGGGGAGAAACCACUGUAGGAUAAGGCGCUAGGGAAUGGGAAGGGAUAUAGGAGAAAGCACUGUAAAAUAAUGCCCUAGGGAAUGGGAAGGGGAGAAAGCACUGUAGGAUAAGGCGCUAGGGAAUGGGAAGGGAUAUAGGAGAACGCACUGUAAAAUAAUGCCCUAGGGAAUGGGAAGGGGAGAAAACACUGUAGGAUAAGGCGCUAGGGAAUGGGUAGGGGAGAAAGUACUGUAGGAUAAGGCGCUAGGGAAUGGGAAGGGGAGAAAGCACUGUAGGAUAAGGCGCUAGGGAAUGGGUAGGGGAGAAAGUACUGUAGGAUAAGGCGCUAGGGAAUGGGUAGGGGAGAAAGUACUGUAGGAUAAGGCGCUAGGGAAUGGGUAGGGGAGAAAGUACUGUAGGAUAAGGCGCUAGGGAAUGGGAAGGGGAGAAAACACUGUAGGAUAAGGCGCUAGGGAAUGGGAAGGGGUAUAGGAGAAAGUACUGUAGGAUAAGGCGCUAGGGAAUGGGUAGGGGAGAAAGUACUGUAGGAUAAGGCGCUAGGGAAUGGGAAGGGGAGAAAGCACUGUAGGAUAAGGCGCUAGGGAAUGGGAAGGGGAGAAAGCACUGUAGGAUAAGGCGCUAGGGAAUGGGUAGGGGGAAAGUACUGUAGGAUAAGGCGCUAGGGAAUGGGUAGGGUUGAAAGCACUGUAAGAUAAGGCGCUAGGGAAUGGGUAGGGAGAAAGCACUGUAGGAUAAGGCGCUAGGGAAUGGGUAGGGGAGAAAGUACUGUAGGAUAAGGCGCUAGGGAAUGGUAUAGGAGAAAGCACUGUAGGAUAAGGCGCUAGGGAAUGGGUAGGGGACAAAGUACUGUAGGAUAAGGCGCUAGGAAAUGGGUAUAGGAGAAAGUACUGUAGGAUAAGGCGCUAGGGAAUGGGUAUAGGAGAAAGUACUGUAGGAUAAGGCGCUAGGGAAUGGGUAGGGGAGAAAGUACUGUAGGAUAAGGCGCUAGGGAAUGGGUAUAGGAGAAAGCACUGUAGGAUAAGGCGCUAGGGAAUGGGUAGGGGAGAAAGUACUGUAGGAUAAGGCGCUAGGGAAUGGGUCUACGAGAAAGUAAUGUAGGAUAAGGCGCUAGGGAAUGGGUAUAGGAGAAAGUACUGUAGGAUAAGGCGCUAGGGAAUGGGUAGGGGAGAAAGUACUGUAGGAUAAGGCGCUAGGGAAUGGGUAGGGGAGAAAGUACUGUAGGAUAAGGCGCUAGGGAAUGGGUAGGGGAGAAAGCACUGUAGGAUAAGGCGCUAGGGAAUGGGUAGGGGAGAAAGCACUGUAGGAUAAGGCGCUAGGGAAUGGGUAGGGGAGAAAGCACUGUAGGAUAAGGCGCUAGGGAAUGGGCAGGGGAGAAAGUACUGUAGGAUAAGGCGCUAGGGAAUGGGCAGGGGAGAAAGUACUGUAGGAUAAGGCGCUAGGGAAUGGGCAGGGGAGAAAGUACUGUAGGAUAAGGCACUAGGGAAUGGGUAGGGGAGAAAGUACUGUAGGAUAAGGCGCUAGGGAAUGGGUAGGGGAGAAAGUACUGUAGGAUAAGGCACUAGGGAAUGGGAAGGGAUAUAGGAGAAAGCAUUUAAAAGCAAAUACUUUUACUCAAGUAGUAUUUUACUGUGUGACUUUCACUUUUACCAUUUUCUUUAACCUUGAUUUAACUAGGCAAGUCAGUUAAGAACAAAUUCUUAUUUACAAUGACGGCCUUCCCCGGCCAAACCCUAAUCCAGACGACACUGGGCCUUCCCCAGCCAAACCCUAAUCCAGACGACACUGGGCCUUCUCCGGCCAAACCCUAAUCCAGACGACACUGGGCCUUCUCCGGCCAAACCCUAAUCCAGACGACACUGGGCCUUCCCGGCCAAACCCUAAUCCAGACGACACUGGGCCUUCCCCGGCCAAACCCUAAAUCCAGACGACACUGGGCCUUCCCCGGCCAAACCCUAAUCCAGACGACACUGGGCCUUCCCCGGCCAAACCCUAAUCCCGACCACACUGGGCCUUCCCCGGCCAAACCCUAAUCCCGACCACACUGGGCCAAUUGUGCGACGCACUAUGGGACUCCCAAUCACAGCCGGAUGUGAUACAGCCUGGAAUCAAACCAGGGUCUGUAGUGACGCCUUUACUGAGAUGCAGUGCCUUUUUCUAUUAAGGUAUCUUUACUUUUACUCAAGUAUGACAAUUGGGUACUUUUUCCACUAUUGAUGUUAGUGCCACGGAAUUCAUUUAAAAUAUUGAUGGGAGACUCUGUUACAGAGGAGUGUAAAUGCUUUUUCUUAGGCUGGAUCACGUUGUUGUAUUGUAUUGUUGUAUGUUUUAAUUCUGUAAUGUAUUGAUUGUUAAUGCCUUCUUGGCCAGGUCUCCCUUGAAAAAGAGACUGUGUCUCAAUAGGCUUUUCCUGGGUAAAUAAAAAUAAAAAUGGAAAGGGGGUAUAGAAGGCACUGUAGGAUAAGGCCCUAGGGAAUGGGACUAGGAUAUAGGAGAUGGAAUGGGACUAGGGUAUAGGAGAUGGAAUGGGACUAGGGUAUAGGAGAUGGAAUGGGACUAGGGUAUAGGAGAUGGAAUGGGACUAGGAUAUAGGAGAUGGAAUGGGACUAGGAUAUAGGAGAUGGAAUGGGACUAGGAUAUAGGAGAUGGAAUGGGACUAGGAUAUAGGAGAUGGAAUGGGACUAGGGUAUAGGAGAUGGAAUGGGACUAGGAUAUAGGAGAUGGAAUGGGACUAGGAUAUAGGAGAUGGAAUGGGACUAGGAUAUAGGAGAUGGAAUGGGACUAGGAUAUAGGAGAUGGAAUGGGACUAGGGUAUAGGAGAUGGAAUGGGACUAGGGUAUAGGAGAUGGAAUGGGACUAGGAUAUAGGAGAUGGAAUGGGACUAGGGUAUAGGAGAUGGAAUGGGACUAGGGUAUAGGAGAUGGAAUGGGACUAGGGUAUAGGAGAUGGAAUGUGACUAGGGUAUAGGAGAUGGAAUGGGACUAGGGUAUAGGAUAUGAAAUGGGACUAGGGUAUAGGAGAUGAAAUGGGACUAGGGUAUAGGAGAUGGAAUGGGACUAGGAUAUAGGAGAUGGAAUGGGACUAGGAUAUAGGAGAUGGAAUGGGACUAGGGUAUAGGAGAUGGAAUGGGACUAGGGUAUAGGAGAUGGAAUGGGACUAGGAUAUAGGAGAUGGAAUGGGACUAGGGUAUAGGAGAUGGAAUGGGACUAGGGUAUAGGAGAUGGAAUGGGACUAGGGUAUAGGAAAUGGAAUGGGACUAGGGUAUAGGAGAUGGAAUGGGACUAGGGUAUAGGAGAUGGAAUGGGACUAGGGUAUAGGAGAUGGAAUGGGACUAGGGUAUAGGAGAUGGAAUGGGACUAGGGUAUAGGAGAUGGAAUGGGACUAGAGUAUAGGAGAUGGAAUGGGACUAGGGUAUAGGAGAUGGAAUGGGACUAGAGUAUAGGAGAUGGAAUGGGACUAGAGUAUAGGAGAUGGAAUGGGACUAGGGUAUAGGAGAUGGAAUGGGACUAGAGUAUAGGAGAUGGAAUGGGACUAGGGUAUAGGAGAUGGAAUGGGACUAGGGUAUAGGAGAUGGAAUGGGACUAGGGUAUAGGAGAUGGAAUGGGACUAGGGUAUAGGAGAUGGAAUGGGACUAGAGUAUAGGAGAUGGAAUGGGACUAGGGUAUAGGAGAUGGAAUGGGACUAGGGUAUAGGAGAUGGAAUGGGAGAGUGGGGUAGAGGAGAGACAGGCCCUAGGGAAUGGGACUAGGGUAUAGGAGAUGGAAUCAGAGAGGGGGGGGUAGAGGAGAGACAGGAGAAGGCACUGUAGGAUAAGCAGGGUUGGGUAGGUUACUUUCUAAACAAGUUACCUGUCCAAAAUUGUAAUCAGAAAUAAAACUUUUGGAUUACCCAAACUCAGUAACAUAAUCUGAUUACAUUACAUUUAUUUUAGAUGACUUUCCCCUUAAGAGGUAUAAGAAGAAGACAAAAAUGUAUGUUACCAAUUGAACGACAUUGCAGGAUAAAUCAAUGUUAAAGUUUACAUAGCUGGUCAUAAAUGGGUGUUACAUUUGACUUUAUGGGUUAUGUAGGCUUCUUCUAACCCAUCGCUUUCUACUCCAACGAUUAAACUAUAUAUUUACAUUAAAAACCAGUCUAUCAGAAUUCCAGUCAUUACAAUAAAUGAUAUACCCCUUGACCUUCAAGAAUAGGACUUGGAAAUACAGAAGUAUAGAUCAGCCAAACGGUUUUAUCUGAGUAUAACCCCAAAACGAAGGACUUAUUAGCCAGCCCUACUGUGUUGUUUAUGAUUUUGUCGUUGAGGACUGAUUGGGUUUAUUGAUUCUAAUUGAAAAAAUAAAUGCUUCGCUCGUGGAAUGGCAAGCUUUGAACACUGAAAAGUGCUAUUUACAUGUGAAAAAUGAAUGCCAUGUGCUGCAUUUGCUAUAUGUCUAUUGUUUACCUUUUAGUUGGCGACACUUUGAUAUCUUGAUAAUAUGCAGCUGUUUAAAGGGCAACUCCACAGAUGAAACAAUAACAAAAUGGGCACCCCGCCUCUGUUUUGGUAAAAAGCGGAGGGAUGGGCCUGGAGAAAUGUAACCACUCUCAGAUGAAUAGACAGAGCUACGGAUGUAAGGACUGACCAUCCAUGAUAUCAAAAUUAUAGUUUUAACUACAGUAUGUUAUGAGGCUAUACCUUGUUUGAUUACAUUUACAAUGUUUACAAACAUUGGAGAAAAACAAGCUUCUAUUUUGGGUUCUGAUGGAGUGUGGCUGUUGAACUAAGCUCAUGAGGCAUUUAUAAGUUAUAUUCUUCAACAAUUAAUGGAUAUAUACAGGUAUAUAUAAUGUAUAAGUCCAAAAAUGGAUGUACCAUCUACAGAUUGACCCUUUAAGUCUAUCAAAAGUGAAGGAGUUUGAGCAUGUGUCCAGUAGGCCUAUGGAUUUAUUUUUAUCAACUUGAAUUAUAUUGUGCAAUAAAAGCACCACGUUUAUUCCAUAUGCUGGGAUCCGCACUAUGCAGCUGUUAUUCCAUAUGCUGGGAUCUGCACUAUGCAGCUGUUAUUCCAUAUGCUGGGAUCCGCACUAUGCGGCUGUUAUUCCAUAUGCUGGGAUCCGCACUGUGCAGCUGUUAUUCCAUAUGCUGGGAUCUGCACUAUGCAGCUGUUAUUCCAUAUGCUGGGAUCCGCACUAUGCAGCUGUUAUUCCAUAUGCUGGGAUCCGCACUAUGCAGCUGUUAUUCCAUAUGCUGGGAUCCGCACUAUGCAGCUGUUAUUCCAUAUGCUGGGAUCUGCACUGUGCAGCUGUUAUUCCAUAUGCUGGGAUCUGCACUAUGCAGCUGUUAUUCCAUAUGCUGGGAUCUGCACUGUGCAGCUGUUAUUCCAUAUGCUGGGAUCUGCACUAUGCAGCUGUUAUUCCAUUAGCUGGGAUCCGCACUAUGCAGCUGUUAUUCCAUAUGCUGGGAUCCGCACUAUGCAGCUGUUAUUCCAUUAGCUGGGAUCCGCACUAUGCAGCUGUUAUUCCAUAUGCUGGGAUCUGCACUGUGCAGCUGUUAUUCCAUAUGCUGGGAUCCGCACUAUGCAGCUGUUAUUCCAUAUGCUGGGAUCUGCACUGUGCAGCUGUUAUUCCAUAUGCUGGGAUCUGCACUAUGCAGCUGUUAUUCCAUAUGCUGGGAUCCGCACUAUGCAGCUGUUAUUCCAUAUGCUGGGAUCCGCACUAUGCAACUGUUAUUCCAUAUGCUGGGAUCCGCACUAUGCAACUUCUUGAAUUCAACCAUUAUUGGGUUCAAAACCACAUUUAGAUUUGUGAACAUACAACCACAAUCCGUAAGGCAAAAAUAGCUAAAUAAGAGAGCAGCAGUGUGAUUCACAUCAAUACGCUAUGUAGAUAUCAGUAAUUAGUGAUAUCGGUAUCACUGUAGACGACACCACUACUGUCAUCCUUUACCUCCAAGCCUUUAUUCAAGUUGGAUCAUCUUUGGAUGCCGACAGCAGUCACACCAUUGGAAGACAUGGCUUGGACUGAAACCCACAAUAGCCCUUUCCUGCUCUUUUCCCGCGAUCCAUCAAACACAUUUGAUGUGUUAUCAUAGUGGUCUCUGACUUGUGGUCAGACUCGCUCAGGUGGAACAAACUUAAUACAUUUGCGCCUUCUUCAAUGCUGAUUUGAAUGUCAUUGAGAAAACAGAGAGGUGUCAAUAUUUUUUUUCAGAAACAUCCUUUCUGAAUUUAAAAGUAACCCUGGAAAUAAUCUUCUAGUUUUUCAAAAGUAUCUGUAAUCUGAUUACAAUAUUUUCGUUUGUAACGGAUUACAGUUACCGUUACAUGUAAACUCCCCAACCCUGAGGAUAAGGCACUGGAGAAUGAGAGAGAGGGGGUAGAGAGAAAGGAAUGGGAGAGAGGGAAUAGAGGAGAUGGAAUGGGAGAGUGGGUGUCGAGGAGAAGGAAUGGGAGAGGGGGGAUAGAGGAGAUGGAAUGGGAGAGAGGGGAUAGAGGAGAAGGAAUGGGAGAGAGGGAAUAGAGGAGAAGGAAUGGGAGAGGGGGAAUAGAGGAGAAGGAAUGGGAGAGGGGGUAGAUGGGAAGAAAUGGGACAGAGGGGAUAGAGGAUAAGGAAUGGGAGAGGGGGUGUCGAGGAGAAGGAAUGGGAGAGAGGGGAUAGAGGAGAUGGAAUGGGAGAGAGGGAUAGAGGAGAAGGAAUGGGAGAGAGGGGAUAGAAGAGAUGGAAUGGGAGAGAGGGGAUAGAGGAAAAGGAAUGGGAGAGAGGGAAUAGAGGAGAUGGAAUGGGAGAGGGGGUAGAUGGGAAGAAAUGGGACAGAGGGGAUAGAGGAUAAGGAAUGGGAGAGAGGGAAUAGAGGAGAAGGAAUGGGAGAGGGGGUAGAUGGGAAGAAAUGGGACAGAGGGGAUAGAGGAUAAGGAAUGGGAGAGGGGGUGUCGAGGAGAAGGAAUGGAAGAGAGGGAUAGAGGAGAUGGAAUGGGAGAGGGGGUGUCGAGGAGAAGGAAUGGGAGGGAGGGGAUAGAGGAUAAGGAAUGGGAGAGGGGGUGUCGAGGAGAAGGAAUGGGGGAGAGGGGAUAGAGGAGAUGGAAUGGGAGAGAGGGGAUAGAGGAGAUGGAAUGGGGGAGAGGGGAUAGAAGAGAAGGAAUGGGAGGGGCUGCUUUAUGCUAAAGAUUAAACAACUUGUGACAUCAUCAGAUAAACACUCAAUUCUAUCACGUAUCUCCUGUUUCCACUCGUUCCUAUUUUUUUACAACAGUCAAAGAACGUCAACAUAUACAUUUAUAUAAAACAUAAUCAUGAACGUUAAAGUUUAAUGUCAAAAACAGUCCUUUAUAUGACUUGGUGUGUCUUCAGUUUUUAUCCUGUGUUCCUACUGAGGUUGCCAGGACAACAGCACCACCAUGUGGUGACGUGAACAACCAGCAGCCUGUGGUGUCUGCCAGUGUGUCUCAGUCAGGAUCCAUCCUGGGGACCCACUGUGUGUAGGCUGGACUUCCCUCCAGCUCAGCAUCAAUAAGACACUAAUUAGUACAUGGACAACUGCAUGAUGGGUACAGUAGUUUGUGCUACUGAAGGAAGGGGGCCUUGGACACCAGCACAGCUCAACAAAACAACAACAUUAUGUGUUGAGAAGAGGUUCAGUCACACUGAUAGAGGAAGGCCUUAGUGCUGGUGUGGUUUCUUCCCUUCAUCUCUGAAACAUAAAACGUGCACACUACACUACAUUGAUGAAAGCUAAAAAUCUAUCUGCAAAAUUAAAGCUGAAAAAAAAAGUAAUUAAAAAAUAAAAUAACAAAUACAAAUACAAAAAAAAUAAAACAUAAAACGUGCCCAGUAAAAAACACUGAACCACUGAACACAUAAUCAUGCUGAUAAUCCUAUUUGUGAAUAACAACAAUAAUGAUCAACUCAGUUCUCACAGGGUGUGUAGCCUGAUGAUGCCACUGAAUGUCUUCUCCAUCCCAGGAGCCAAAUGGUUUCUGAGGGCGAGGGGAGGGGCGUGGAGUGUUGGGGUAGGGGUCUGUUAGGGGGGCGUGGAGUGUUGGGAUAGGGGUCUGUUAGGGGGCGUGGAGUGUUGGGGUAGGGGUCUGUUAGGGGGCGUGGAGUGUUGGGGUAGGGGUCUGUUAGGGGGCGUGGAGUGUUGGGGUAGGGGUCUGUUAGGGGGCGUGGAGUGUUGGGAUAGGGGUCUGUUAGGGGGCGUGGAGUGUUGGGGUAGGGGUCUGUUAGGGGG